rnacentral:lncRNA from 1 species
AAAAAAAAUUAAGAAAAAAUAAUAAAUUAAGAGAAAUAAAUGUAAAUAUGAAUAUAAAAUCUCACCUAUUGUAGAACUUAUCACACUCGAAACCCAUGCAGGUAGUCCUUCUGUGCUAGAUGUCUCAAAUAAAAGAUCAUUUAUUCAUUUUAGGGAAGAAAUGUUUGCAAUCAUGUACCAUGGAAUGCCCACCCCCUAAACUUUAAUGUGUCAGAAUCAGAAGAAGAAGAC